rnacentral:rRNA from 1 species
CUCCGGUUGAUCCUGCCGGACCCGACUGCUAUCAGAGUGGGACUAAGCCAUGCGAGUCAACAUAGCAAUAUGUGGCAUACGGCUCAGUAACACGUAGUCAACAUGCCCAGGGGACGUGGAUAACCUCGGGAAACUGAGGAUAAACCGCGAUAAGUCACUACUUCUGGAAUGGGUAAUGACUCAAAUCUACAUGGCCCCUGGAUUGGACUGCGGCCGAUCAGGCUGUUGGUGAGGUAAUGGCCCACCAAACCUGUAACCGGUACGGGCUCUGAGAGGAGGAGCCCGGAGAUGGGCACUGAGACAAGGGCCCAGGCCCUAUGGGGCGCAGCAGGCGCGAAACCUCUGCAAUAGGCGAAAGCCUGACAGGGUUACUCUGAGUGAUUUCCGUUAAGGAGAUCUUUUGGCACCUCUAAAAAUGGUGCAGAAUAAGGGGUGGGCAAGUCUGGUGUCAGCCGCCGCGGUAAUACCAGCACCCCGAGUGGUCGGGACGUUUAUUGGGCCUAAAGCAUCCGUAGCCGGUUCUACAAGUCUUCCGUUAAAUCCACCUGCUUAACAGAUGGGCUGCGGAAGAUACUAUAGAGCUAGGAGGCGGGAGAGGCAAGCGGUACUCGAUGGGUAGGGGUAAAAUCCGUUGAUCCAUUGAAGACCACCAGUGGCGAAGGCGGCUUGCCAGAACGCGCUCGACGGUGAGGGAUGAAAGCUGGGGGAGCAAACCGGAUUAGAUACCCGGGUAGUCCCAGCUGUAAACGAUGCAGACUCGGUGAUGAGUUGGCUUCUUGCCAACUCAGUGCCGCAGGGAAGCCGUUAAGUUUGCCGCCUGGGGAGUACGGUCGCAAGACUGAAACUUAAAGGAAUGGCGGGGGGAGCA